rnacentral:sRNA from 20 species
CCGACCGCCAAAAUGGCGUCAGCCUGGUCAGGGAGCGCCGAGCUUCUUGGCGCUCCCUCAUAUCUAUGUUGCUCUACGGACGAUGUAGCUAUGAGAA